rnacentral:rRNA from 1 species
GAAGGUCCCGGCGAGACGAGCCGUUUAUCAUUACGAUAGGUGUCAAGUGAAAGUACAGUGAUGUAUGCAGCUGAGGCAUCCUAAAAGACCGGUAGACUUGAAC